rnacentral:rRNA from 1 species
CCUACGGGAGGCUGCAGUGGGGAAUAUUGCACAAUGGGGGAAACCCUGAUGCAGCGACGCCGCGUGAGUGAAGAAGUCAUUCGUUAUGUAAAGCUCUAUCAGCAGGGGAGAAAAUGACGGUACCUGAGUCAGAAGCUCCGGCUAACUACGUGCCAGCAGCCGCGGUAAUACGUAGGGGGCCAGCGUUAUCCGGAUUUACUGGGUGUAAAGGGAGCGUAGACGGCAGUUCAAGUCUGGAGUGAAAGGCGGGGGCUCAACCCCCGGACUGCUCUGGAAACUGUACGGCUGGAGUGCAGGAGAGGUAAGUGGAAGUCCGAGUGUAGCGGUGAAAUGCGUAGAUAUUAGGAGGAACACCAGUGGCGAAGGCGGCUUACUGGACUGUAACUGACGUUGAGGCUCGAAAGCGUGGGGAGCAAACAGGAUUAGAUACCCCAGUAGUC